rnacentral:rRNA from 1 species
CCCUUAGAUGUCCUGGGCCGCACGCGCGUUGCACUGAUGCAUUCAACGAGCUUAUAACCUUGGCCGAGAGGCCCGGGCAAUCUUGUUAACGUGCAUCGUGAUAGGGAUAGAUUAUUGAAAUUAUUAAUCUUGAACGAGGAAUUCCUAGUAAACGCAGAUCAUCAAUCUGCAUUGAUUACGUCCCUGCCCUUUGUACACACCGCCCGUCGCACCUACCGAUUGGAUGGUCCGGUGAAGCCUCGGGAUUGUGGUUCUUGCCGCUUUAUUGUGGCGUGACCGCGAGAACUUGUCUAAACCUUAUCAUCUAGAGGAAGGUGAAGUCGUAACA